GACGGCCGUCCGGGGGCCUGGCGGGGCGGGGCUGCGCGGCCUCCGCCGCGGGCUCCGGGUGCGUUGGUUUCCGCGGCUCUGACGCCCGGAAGGAGGUUUCCGUGGCGGGCGGCCGCCCCUCCGCGUUAUGGGCAGCGAACUUAGCGAUUCACCUGUUUCUUGUGGAGAGUGUGGGGUUUGGAGUCGGGCAGCAGGUCCAGUUUCAAAUGCCAGCCCCAGUAUUUAGCCCCGUGACUUGUCUGUGCUUCAGUUUCCUCGUAUUUAAAAAGGAGAUUGUAAUAUAAUCUAUACCUGCCUCAUCAGGUGACUAGUAGGAUCAAGUGUCCUACUCUAGAUUCAGCUUUUCCUGGUGUAACCCUUUGAGAUCACAGUUUGCUGAGAGGAGGAUCUCCUGUUAGACUCACACCUUCUGUGGACUCUGGGAUUGGAUUUAUGUCCUGUCACUCACACGGCUAUCCAAGUCAUAUUAUUGUAAGAGAACUUUAAUUCCACAAAUAUAUUCAGAAUCAAGGACUGCCUGGGUGGCUCAGUCAGCUGUAUCCUCAGAGCUGGCACAAUGCUCAGAAUAAGAGUUGAGAAGUUAAAUGCCAGCACUUGAACUGAAUGGACUCACAUGCCUCCAGAUUUAACCCAGGACAUUCAUUUUCUUCAAUGUCAGAAUGACCCAGCAAUCAGUUAGGUGCUUGGGGAUAUAACAACUCUUUCAAUCCAAGUGGAUAUAAUUCAGUCUGUAAUGUUGGUCAGAACAAUGCAGCUUUCUAAAGCUGGUCUACAUGGCAGACCUAAAAUCAUUAAAAACUGAAGUGUAUUA